rnacentral:rRNA from 1 species
ACUCCUACGGGAGGCAGCAGUGGGGAAUAUUGCACAAUGGGGAAACCCUGAUGCAGCCAUGCCGCGUGUGUGAAGAAGGCCUUCGGUUGUAAAGCACUUUCAGUAGGGAGGAAGGUAGUGUAGUUAACACCUGCAUUAUUUGACGUUACCUACAGAAGAAGCACCGGCUAACUCCGUGCCAGCAGCCGCGGUAAUACGGAGGGGUGCGAGCGUUAAUCGGAAUUACUGGGCGUAAAGCGCAUGCAGGCGGCCUGUUAAGUCAGAUGUGAAAGCCCGGGGGCUUAACCUCGGAAUUGCAUUUGAAACUGGCAGGCUAGAGUCUUGUAGAGGGGGUAGAAUUUCAGGUGUAGCGUGAAAUGCGUAGAGAUCUGAAGGAAUACCAGUGGCGAAGGCGGCCCCCUGGACAAAGACUGACGCUCAGAUGCGAAAGCGUGGGGAGCAAACAGGAUUAGAUACCCUGGUAGACUGUCA